rnacentral:lncRNA from 13 species
GCCCACCUUGGCUUCCCAAAGUUCUGAGCUUAUAGGCAUAUAAGAAUGCCCAGUCAAGAGUGCAUUCUUUAGGGUAUACAGGCCCCACAGUCUCUGCAGAAACCCAACCCCACUACCACAGCGCAACAACCAGAGACAAUACAAGAACGACAGUGUGUGUGUGCGUUUGAUGCAGCUUUCUCCCCAAAACGCAGCGGGCUGGACCCGGCCGCCACAGUUCCAUGCUCGAUGUCUAUCCCGCCCUGGUGUUCACAUCUCCCUCACCUUCCCUCAGAUCUUUUGGAAUAAGGAAGCAAUAUGGAUGCACAAAUAAAUGGUUUAGAUGAUGGGAAAACCAAUUCAUUAUAGAAAAUCUGAAAAAAAACGUGAAAACCCAGAAAGGAAAAGUUCCUCCUCAACCCACUGCAUGAAGACACCCUCUUCCGCUGGCCUUCUCCCCAAGCCCCUCAACAAGCCAGAGACUAGGGGUCCUGUAAGUGCUGGCCCCGCAUGACCCCUCUCGGGCAAGGUCUUGAGGGAGCCCAGGGUUUCUCUGAUGAGGUCCUCGCCUUGGGCUGAGUGCCAGAAGGAGAGAAAAUGCAAAAGAUGGGGUGGAUGGCUACACACCUGGUCAAACUUCUUCUGCUUCUCCUCCAGGUGGCACACCAUGUGACGCUGGUUGUCCAGGUCCACAAGCAGGUCGUCCAGCUCCUGCUGCAGACAUGUCUUGGUAUUCUCCAGCUUGUCCUUGUGCCCCUGGCUCAGGCCCUUCAGGUCCUUCCGGAGCUGCCUCUUCACCUCCUCUGAGGUUUCCAGGCACCCCACACUGUCCUCAAUCUUCGUCAUGUCGGCCACCUGGGCAGGAGCAAGGAAUAAGCAGAUGCCUGAGAUGGCACCUGCUCAGGUGACACACCUGUCCCUGGGACAGCUGGGAGCCUGCCUGCCACACUGUGAAAGGGGCACCAGGGAUCCGCCCAGUUAUGAAACUGCCUCCCCCAGUCACUUCCCUCUCCAUGGGGGCAAGACAAAUGGAGUUUCUGCAGAAAGGCAUCCAUCUAGUGUGUGAAGCUGCGGGGAGGCUGACUCCUAGGCCCGCUGAGGGGAUUCCAAGCCCUCAUCCACACCAAGCCUCUCGCUCUGGGGUCCCCAUAACUCAGCCCUUGCAUCUGCAGAUAAACCUGCAACCACAUGCGCUCGAAGGCAACUCCUACCCUGACUUUGGAAUGAACUCCCAGCCCAUCUGGAGGUGGAUCAGGCCUUCUGGCCUGCCACGUGGAGGCCUAAAAUAGGAUCUACGACAGGGACCCUGACAUUAGUCUAUGGACCCCUUGACAUUCUAUAGAGAGGACUAGGGACUCCUUCUCAUGACAAUGUUUUAACAGGCAUGAAAUAAACAUAAGGAAUCACCCA